AUCAGGUUGAUAGGUCUGAGGUGGAAGCGUGGUGACACGUGGAGCUGACAGAUACUAAUAGAUCGAGGACUUAACCUAU
rnacentral:rRNA from 12 species